rnacentral:rRNA from 1 species
UUAACACAUGCAAGUCGAGGGGCAGCAUGACGAUAGCUUGCUAUUGUUGAUGGCGACCGGCGCACGGGUGAGUAACGCGUAUCCAACCUUCCCUAUAGUAGAGGAUAGCCCGGCGAAAGUCGGAUUAAUACUCUAUGUUUUCCAAUGCAGACAUCUAAAAUGGAACAAAGGCUUGCCGCUAUAGGAUGGGGAUGCGUCUGAUUAGGUUGUUGGCGGGGUAACGGCCCACCAAGCCUACGAUCAGUAGGGGUUCUGAGAGGAAGGUCCCCCACAUUGGAACUGAGACACGGUCCAAACUCCUACGGGAGGCAGCAGUGAGGAAUAUUGGUCAAUGGGCGAGAGCCUGAACCAGCCAAGUAGCGUGCAGGAUGACGGCCCUAUGGGUUGUAAACUGCUUUUAUACGGGGAUAAAGUGAGGGACGUGUCCCUUUUUGUAGGUACCGUAUGAAUAAGGACCGGCUAAUUCCGUGCCAGCAGCCGCGGUAAUACGGAAGGUCCGGGCGUUAUCCGGAUUUAUUGGGUUUAAAGGGAGCGCAGGCUGAUUAUUAAGCGUGACGUGAAAUGUAGCCGCUCAACGGCUGAACUGCGUCGCGAACUGGUAGUCUUGAGUGAGUUCGAUGUUGGCGGAAUUCGUGGUGUAGCGGUGAAAUGCUUAGAUAUCACGAAGAACUCCGAUUGCGAAGGCAGCCAACAAGGCCUUUACUGACGCUAAAGCUCGAAGGUGCGGGUAUCGAACAGGAUUAGAUACCCUGGUAGUCCGCACGGUAAACGAUGGAUGCCCGCUGUUUGCGAUAUACUGUGAGCGGCCAAGAGAAAUCGUUAAGCAUCCCACCUGGGGAGUAGCCCGGCACGGUGAAACUCAAAGGAAUUGACGGGGGGCCGCACAAGCGGAGGAACAUGUGGUUUAAUUCGAUGAUGCGCGAGGGACCUUACCGGGCUUGAACUGCGGAGACGAUACAGAAAUGUUGAGGCCCUUCG